UCAAAACAUCGAGGAAAACAUGCAGAGUCACCAAGAUAAUACAGAAUUACACCAUUAGAAAAGAGAAAAUGUUUCCUUGUUUUUGUUUUCCUGUUUUUCUGGGGAUAACAUGAAAAAAAGAGAAAAAAAGAAAAAGAAUAAAAGUGGAGGCUUCUAACAAGUAGAUUCUUCUCAAAUGUUCUUCCAACAUUUUGAGAUGGACAUAUCCCAAAUGUUGAUGAUUAUGAGGAUAUUAGCACACCAUUCACUUAAAACAAAUAGUCUAUCCUUGUAUGAAGGGCCUGGAUCUUGUGUGCUCGUUCUGGGAAGUCAUAGCACAUAGCUGCCUGGAAUGCUUCCUCAGGUCAUCUUACAAAAAGUCACAAGUUGGAGUCAUGGUGCUGUUAUUUCCAACUACUUCCUCACCUGCUGAAACACACUGAGGAACUUCACAAAUAGAAUUUCCUGAGGCCAAGCUAACAGAUGCACUGAAAGAGGCAUGAUGAGGUUUGUACACGCCGAACAGAAAUGUCUGCUUCCUGCUAAAUCCAUUAGAAACUGAUACAAGGGCGAGAAGAACGAAUGUAACGAAACAGAAAAAAGGAAGAAGUGGCAACAGAAACAGAAGUUGCAUGAGGUCAGCCCCUUGAGACCAGAAGUGGCAAGGAGAGGGAUUGUCCCCUGAAGACUCUAGGAAGCAGCCCUGCCCCCCACCUUGAUGGUGAUCAGCAGCACCAACAGCAUGAGCACAAACAAGCAGAGGACACCAGAGGCUGCGGCUUUGUUUCUGGGACUCCUGGUGGACGUGGGUAUCUGAGGGCAUCUAUGGUUCCUCCAUUACAGCUAAAUCUUCCAAAAGCAGCAGUGGAUGGAAAGAAGUUUUAACUCUGAGUAAAUACAAAAAGGACUCUUCUGAAAACGUUCCUUCUACUACACGCCGUAGCCGGGCGAAGAUAGCGGUGCUUUUUUUAUUCUCUCAUUCUCAUAAAAACCUAGACAAUAAUUGGACAAUUCACGGGGAUAAACUUGGAUUCUCCCUUUCUAUCUUAAUCUACUUCGCGAGAGGAAAGAGGAAGAAAAAUGCUCUCCUUCUAUUGUAUUUAUGUUUUGUAUUGCUGUUAUCCAAUAAGAUAAAAAUAAUUCAAGUUUUGUAAAAAUUUUUGUAUAGGCAUUGUCCUAUGGUUUAAAAAUAAAAAUGACAUAAAAAUAAUAUAAUAGA